rnacentral:tRNA from 1 species
CAUUAGAUGACUGAAAACAAGUAAUGGUCUCUUAAACCAUAUCAUAGUAAAUUAGUGUCUACUUCUAAUGAA